rnacentral:rRNA from 1 species
AAGUCGAGCGAGCUGAAUUCAAAGAUCCCUUCGGGGUGAUUUGUUGGACGCUAGCGGCGGAUGGGUGAGUAACACGUGGGCAAUCUGCCCUAAAGACUGGGAUACCACUUGGAAACAGGUGCUAAUACCGGAUAACAACAUGAAUCGCAUGAUUCAAGUUUGAAAGGCGGCGCAAGCUGUCACUUUAGGAUGAGCCCGCGGCGCAUUAGC